GAUGAACGCUGGCGGCGUGCCUAAUACAUGCAAGUCGAGCGAAUGGAUUAAGAGCUUGCUCUUAUGAAGUUAGCGGCGGACGGGUGAGUAACACGUGGGUAACCUGCCCAUAAGACUGGGAUAACUCCGGGAAACCGGGGCUAAUACCGGAUAACAUUUUGAACCGCAUGGUUCGAAAUUGAGAGGCGGCUUCGGCUGUCACUUAUGGAUGGACCCGCGUCGCAUUAGCUAGUUGGGGAGGUAACGGCUCACCAAGGCAACGAUGCGGAGCCGACCUGAGAGGGUGAUCGGCCACACUGGGACUGAGACACGGCCCAGACUCCUACGGGAGGCAGCAGUAGGGAAUCUUCCGCAAUGGACGAAAGUCUGACGGAGCAACGCCGCGUGAGUGAUGAAGGCUUUCGGGUCGUAAAACUCUGUUGUUAGGGAAGAACAAGUGCUAGUUGAAUAAGCUGGCACCUUGACGGUACCUAACCAGAAAGCCACGGCUAACUACGUGCCAGCAGCCGCCGUAA
rnacentral:rRNA from 1 species